UAGAGGAAGAAGAAGAGAGGGAGAGAAGAGAAAAGGGAUGAUGAGAGAAAAGAUUUGGGAGAGAAAAGACGGAUUCCAAAGAACCAAACAGGCCCGCUUUUCUCUCUCGUUAAAAAGAGGUUCUUUUCUUCGUUGGCUCUUUUUUCUCUUUCAUUUUUUCUUUAAUUUUUGUUUUUUGUUUUUGUUGGUAACACAAAGUCAUAAAUUUAACAUAACAUAACACCUUUCUUUUCUAUUUCUUUCUCCCUCUAUCUCACGUCUAUCUACAGUCUCUCUCUCUCUCUCUCUCUCUUCCAACAUUUGGGUUCAAAGUUUACAGAUACAGAGCUUGAAAUUCAAGUUUUCAACGGGUAGAUGGAGAAGAAUCAAACGGU
rnacentral:lncRNA from 1 species